AUCGAACGCUGGCGGCAGGCUUAACGCAUGCAAGUCGAGCGAGCGGCGGACGGGUGAGUAAUGUCUGGGAAACUGCCUGCUGGAGGGGGAUAACCACUGGAAACGGUAGCUAAUACCGCAUACCAUCAGAUGUGCCCAGAUGGGAUUGGCUAGUAGGUGGGGUAAUGGCUCACAUGGGCGACGACCCCUAGCCGGUCUGAGAGGAUGACGGGCCACACUGGACCGGGGACACGGUCCAGACUCCUACGGGAGGCAGCAGUGGGAAAUAUUGGACAAUGGGCGCAAUCCUGAUGCAGCAAUGCCGCGUGUGUGAGGAAGGCCUUCGGGUUGUAAGGCACUUUCAGCGAGGAGGCGGGACUCGCAGAAGAAGCACCGGCUAACUCCGUGCCAGCAGCCGCGGUAAUUC
rnacentral:rRNA from 1 species